AAAAUUCUUAAAAUCCUUCAAAACACCAAAUAAAUAGCCAAUAAAAUUACGGAAGGUUGAAAAUAAAAUAAGAUGCAUAUAAUAAAUUUUUCAAAAUUUUAAAAUGUAGAAAAUUAUUUUUAAACUAAUUAAAACAAAGGAGAAAAGAUAAAUUUCAUGAAAAAUAGAAAAUCAAUAAAAUAAAAUAUGAAAAAAAAGAAAUCACAUGAUGAAAAAUAAAACAGAAUUUUAGAAAUUAUUUUGGGAUUUUUU
rnacentral:lncRNA from 1 species